rnacentral:lncRNA from 1 species
GCCCGUUGCGUUUUUUCUCCACCAGUCGCUUGUUUUCCCGCUGGGUUUGCGCUGCGGCUGCGUGUUUUUUGUUUGAUUCGCGUGGUGUCGUUUUGUUGCCGCUUCACGCUCUUCUGGCACCUGCGGGAGGCUGCGCGUUGAAACGCCGUGAAGCAAAAAAAACACUUACGAUUAACUACUUAAUAAUUUCUCUCGAUAAGAAAAAAUGUAUUCUUUCCGUGCCCACAGGUAUGAAUGGUUCAAAGUAGACAAGAUUGUGCGCUCAGCAAACAGUAACGCCCAGAACGUGAAACACGGUAAAAAAGUAAAGAACAAAACUGAAAAAUCCAGUACAGAGAAACUAACAGAUGAGGAGGACACUUCUCCAUCCUGGAAUCACAGUGUCCUUGGAUUCUCCGAGACAGGAGUUGCCCACGAUGGCUUUCCUAAAGUGGAAGGCCGCGACGGCAAACCUGCUCCACAGUUCCCUGUAAAGCCUCUUUUCAGUGGUCUGCCAGCAUCUGAAAGCUCAAGCAACAAUGAGAGUGAGAGGGAGAUGGACACAGGAUCCUCCUCCAUGGCUUUCGAUGCUGUCUUCUCCUCCAGCAGCAGCAGUCCUCUGGAGACUGAGCAGGCAACCAAAGCCAACCUUGAGAAUAUGUCCAGCACAGAGAGAAUAGCCUUCCUGCAGGAGAAGCUCAAGGACAUCCGCAGUCACUACCUCUCACUGAAGUCUGAGGUGGCCUCCAUUGACCGCAGGAGGAAACUCAUGAAAAAGAAAAGAGGGGGUAGAAGGCUAAUUCAUAAAAUUAAUAAAAAACAGAGAGACUAGUUUCUGCUUACAUGCACUUAGAUUAUGAAAUAUUUUCCAUGACAGAUUAGACAGGUGCUAUCUAUUGAAAUUUUAAAUUAAAAAAAUAAAUGUAACUACAUUUGUUUCUAUUUAUGUAUU